UCCGUGGUGGCUCAGACUGUAAAAGAAUCUGCCUGCAAUGCAGAAGACCCAGGUUCGAUUCCUGGGUCGGGAA
rnacentral:tRNA from 1 species